rnacentral:rRNA from 1 species
GACGAACCGUGCGAACGUUGUUCGGAAUCACUGGGCUUAAAGGGCGCGUAGGCGGCUCGCCAGGUCGGGGGUGAAAUCCCACAGCUCAACUGUGGAAGUGCCUUCGAUACCGGCGGGCUCGAGGAAGGUAGGGGUGCGCGGAACUUCUGGUGGAGCGGUGAAAUGCGUUGAUAUCAGAAGGAACGCCGGCGGCGAAAGCGGCGCACUGGACCUUUUCUGACGCUGAGGCGCGAAAGCUAGGGGAGCAAACGGG